AUAUAAAAUGAUAAUACAUUACAGAUAUUUUUGGUUUGUUUUUCAGAGCUAUGAAUGAUCAAGGUUUGUUAGAGGAUAAAUACAAAGAAAUGCAAAGUAAUUUCCAAGUGUUAUUAGAGGAGAAAUUGGUGCUGGAAAAUGAACUACAAAAGUUGAAGACUACAGAGAAAGCAAAGUCUACAUAUGAUCGAACAAAGAAAACUAUAAAAAUGGAGAAGAAAAAAGACAAAAGAAAAUCUGAGGAUACAGAAGAGAAGAAGUUUCUAGUAAAAGAGCUUAAAGUAAAAGAAGAUUUGCUUCAAGUUCAGAAAGUAGCAUUUGCUCUGGAAGUUGAGAACAAAGUCCUUCAGGAACAAUUGAAACAGGCUUUACAGGAAGCUGAAAGCGCUAAGCAUCAACUUGACUAUUUCCUAAAUCAAGAGAAGGAAUUACUUAAUAGUGAAGAGAAGACCAAGACAACAAUGGAAAUGGGUAUUAGCAAAAUAAAAGUUGAAGAUUCAAAACAUAUACCAUUGGAAAAAGAGACAAGGGAAGCAUUAGUUACAGCUUCAGGUAGACAAAAGACAAAUGCAAAAAUCCAAGAACAUUCACAGAUCUCAAUUUUCACAAAUGGAAGCCCAGCUGACAAAAGAUCCUAAUAGAAUUUCUGAAAUUCUUUGGAAAAGUCUCCCAAACCUUCAGAGAAUGGAUGCGAGUGAAGCAAGGAGAUCCCACCUGAACAGACAUAUGCUCAGUUUGAGGUACCAGAUGGAAAUCUUGUGCUUGAUGAAAACCAAGAUUCAAUAUCAAAAACACAAAUGCAAGUAAAGAAACAGAGAACAUCCAAAGGGGAAAGAAACAUUACUAAUGAUGAUGUACCAGAUAAAAACCUUAUGCUUAAGCAUCAAGACUCAAAGUCAGAAACAGAAAUGCAAGUAAAGAAACAAAAAACUUCCCUAGGUGAAUCAUUCAUUACUCAUGACAACAUAACAGAUGAAAACCCUGUGCUUGAGCCUCAAGAGUCAAUGUCAAAAACCCAACUUCAAGUAAACAAACAAAAAAUUGCUAAAGAGGAAAGAGUCACUAAACUCAAAUUGGUAGAUAAGGUGUUGAGAUCUGUAACUCAAAAGCAAAUGUGGAUCAAAGGAACAAACUAGAAGGGUUGCCUGAGAGGCCUGUUGGAGGAUCCAUAAGGCAUCCAUUUGGCUGGGACCCACUCGAAGCUCAUGAUAAAGUACCUGGAAAUCAUGAUCCUAAAGACUCAAUGUCAAAAACUCAACUGCAAGUAAAAAAACAAAGAGCUUCCAAAGGGGAAAGAUUCUAUGGUA